AGUGAUGCACACACAGUAGGUAUCUGUAGGUAAAUAUUUGUCUCCCAACAAAACUGAUGUGAAUAAAUCUAGCUAAUCUGCCCCCAGAGAUGGUGCCUUGUUCUGUUUCUCACCCUCCGUACCAGGCUCUGGAUGAGCAGAGCUGACAAUGCCCAGCUCUUCUUGGAGCUCAGAGCCAUUGUUUCUUGCAGGAGACGACACACUGGGAUGCCUGCUCUGUGAUUUGUGGAGACUGGCUCCGGUUUAAGGAGAGAAUGCUGUGAUUUAUCUUGCUAAGGCCUCCUUUUCUUCUCCCGAUGAUGAUGGAUGCCCACAGCCACAUCAGAAGACGUCAGGAGACACACAGCACAGAGCUAUGGCAGUUAUCCCCAAGGUGCAGGAAAUAGCCGACAAAACCUCAACUCUCCUGGUACACAGAGCCUGCACAGAGCUACACUUCAGGACAGACCCGACAUGAUUCUGAAGUGUCUGUGAUAAGACAGAAGCCUUUCCAUUCUCAUCGGGAAAGGAGAGUCGCUGUCUAUGGGAGGCAGAAAGGGAACAAGCAAGAAAGUAACCAAUCUUUAAAGUGAACUUCUGUAAGCCCUCUCGGGUAAGCCACCUCUUUAAAUCUGACCUUGCUCACAGGUACAGUGGACGUGACGACCUGGCCUAGAUGCAGAAGCUGUGGAGCAGAUCCAAGGCAGGCAGAGUGUAGCCGCCUUGCUGUGUGAUAUUAUCAGCAUGUUGGGUUUUGCUCGCUAUCUCUGUGAAUACUUUCGGAAGAAACCUGCUUCUCUCUG
rnacentral:lncRNA from 1 species